rnacentral:rRNA from 1 species
CUACCAAGGCGAUGAUCGAUAGCUGGUUUGAGAGGAUGAUCAGCCACACUGGGACUGAGACACGGCCCAGACUCCUACGGGAGGCAGCAGUGGGGAAUAUUGGACAAUGGGCGAAAGCCUGAUCCAGCAAUGCCGCGUGUGUGAAGAAGGUCUUCGGAUUGUAAAGCACUUUCGACGGGGACGAUGAUGACGGUACCCGUAGAAGAAGCCCCGGCUAACUUCGUGCCAGCAGCCGCGGUAAUACGAAGGGGGCUAGCGUUGCUCGGAAUGACUGGGCGUAAAGGGCGCGUAGGCGGUUGAUGCAGUCAGAUGUGAAAUCCCCGGGCUUAACCUGGGAACUGCAUUUGAGA